rnacentral:rRNA from 1 species
UACAGAGGUCUCAAGCGUUGUUCGGAUUCAUUGGGCGUAAAGGGUGUGUAGGUGGCGCCGUAAGUCGGGUGUGAAAUUUCGGAGCUUAACUCCGAAACUGCAUUCGAUACUGCGGUGCUUGAGGACUGGAGAGGAGACUGGAAUUCAUGGUGUAGCAGUGAAAUGCGUAGAGAUCCGGAGGAACACCAGUGGCGAAGGCGCUGUCCUGGGCCGCAACUGACGCUGAGACGCGAAAGCAUGGGGAGCGAACGGG